AUUGAACGCUGGCGGCAUGCUUUACACAUGCAAGUCGAACGGUAACAGGCCGCAAGGUGCUGACGAGUGGCGAACGGGUGAGUAAUGCAUCGGAACGUGCCCAGUCGUGGGGGAUAACUACUCGAAAGAGUAGCUAAUACCGCAUACGAUCUAUGGAUAAAAGCGGGGGACCGUAAGGCCUCGCGCGAUUGGAGCGGCCGAUGUCAGAUUAGGUAGUUGGUGGGGUAAAGGCUCACCAAGCCAACGAUCUGUAGCUGGUCUGAGAGGACGACCAGCCACACUGGGACUGAGACACGGCCCAGACUCCUACGGGAGGCAGCAGUGGGGAAUUUUGGACAAUGGGCGCAAGCCUGAUCCAGCAAUGCCGCGUGCAGGAAGAAGGCCUUCGGGUUGUAAACUGCUUUUGUACGGAACGAAACGGCUCUGGUUAAUACCCGGGGCUAAUGACGGUACCGUAAGAAUAAGCACCGGCUAACUACGUG
rnacentral:rRNA from 1 species